rnacentral:lncRNA from 1 species
GUGUGACGAAUGCUAGAUGAGGGGCUAAGGCCUAAUUGGGCUGGGGGUAUUGAAGAAUUGUUCAUCAUGUCAGAGUCUUUUUCCAGAAACAGACAGGUUUCAAACUUGCCAUUGACUUGUACUCAUAAUGGCAUUCAAGGAACAAUAUCAGAGGGAGUAUAACAACUCCAGAAAGCAUAGCGCACAACAUAAUCUUGGUCUCAGGUACGUAUGAUCCUCUCAAUCUACGAUAUGGUGUGAAAACCAUGAUGCUUCGCUGAGGAGAAAUUCUUCUGUUUCCGAGCGAGGAGUGGUGUUGUCUUUCUUGGUUCCCCUCUUUGGACACAGCUUCACUCGGGAUGCGUGAAUCCAGAUGUCAUGGGAAUCUGUGAGGACAGCGGUUCUGGUUACAGCAAUCACAGUAGCAGGUGGUCCAAAAGGGUAUCCUCCUUUCUUGGUCCUGUUCAGCUGACGGAUAUACACCUUGUCACCGGGCUGGUAUGAAUGAGUAGGUUCCUGUGAAGGUAAGGGAAAACUGCGAAGAAACAUUGUCAUACAUACCAUUCGGUUUUAUCAACAACUCCUGUACAUAUUGUUCUUGUAUUAGCUGUAAAUCCCCAGACAUUAUAACAAGCGGUUCCCUGGCCCAGGGUGUGGGAAAAGGUCAUCCCAUCAAAAAUCUCAGAUGGAGAUAAUUUAGUCACCUUGUGGGGAUUCAUUCUUAUCUCAGCUAAAAUAGCUGGUAGAUAUCUAGUCCAAUUUACCCAUGUUCCUGGGUAAAUUCUGGGCUUUUCCUUAAUAGUCCUUUUCAUCCUUUCAACUACCCCUGUAUUCUGUGGAUGAUAGGGUAUAUGAAACUGCCAGGUAACUUGCAAGAAUUUAGCAAGUUCCUGGGCAACCCCACUUGCAAAAACCGGGCCAUUAUCAGAGCCAAUCUGCAGAGGGCAGCCAUACCUGGGAAUAAUUUCAGUAACAAUAAUCUUCACUAGCAUCCUCCCUAGAUGUCACAAAGGCCUCAUGCCAUCUACUAAACUGAUCAACUAUGACCAGUAAGUAUUGCUGUUUCUUACCAAUUUUGGAUACAUGAAUAAAAUCAAUCUGUAAGUGUGUAAAAAGAGCAGCGUUCACACGAUCUUACAAAAGACUGUACAUGCUGCCUAAGAUUCCUAAUAUAAAAUGAAUUCAUGAGGAAUUGAAUGGUGCUUGCUAUGUGCCUGACUGAUGAAAAUAAAUCAGCUUGCUUCAAGUAUGCCUAUUCUCCCCUCUUUAGAGAACAGAUCAUUUUGAUCUUUCUCUAAACCUUGUUUAAUCCAAAAGACAGAUUCUGGGUAUUUAAAAAAGAAUCUCAUAACCACUGAAGCGCUGGGCUGUCAUGUGUUGUGUGGUGAGAUUUGUCAUCAGCUGAGUGACCUGGUGACUGGCAUGAAGUAUUGUAGGAUGCCCUAGUGUGAUAGUAGUAGCAGUUUCAACAGCCAUUGCACAUGCUAUCAAUGCUCUGAGACACGCCGGCAUACCCUGUACCGGAGCUUGAACUACUUUGGAAAAGAAUGCUAUGGGACGCAUACCGCCUCCUUGCUCUUGUGCACAGACUGCGGCCAUGGUUUUACAAUUGUCCCAAGCAUACAAAUGAAAUGGUUUACAAUACACAGGUAGUCCUAAAGCCUGGGCUUGCACAAUAACAACUGUAAGGGCAAUAUAUGCAGCUAGCAUGUCUGGUGACCAGCAGACAUUUUCAGGGCUGUCAGAACGUACAGCCUCCCUUAGGAUUGAGUCAUAAUGGGAGCAUUCAGGGAUCCAUGGUGGCAGUAAUUAAUCAUGCCGAGGAAGGUGAGCAACUCCUUCCGAGUAGUGGGUGUUGGAAUCCUCUGAAUGACCUCAAUACGUUUUGGACUCAAUUGUCUGGUGCCUAAAGCCAGAACAAAACCUAAGUAUUCAACCUUUGAUUUACACAAUUGCAUUUUGUGUUUAACAACCUUGUGACCUACAGUUGCUGACAGUAUCCACAGUGCUUGCCUCAUAGCUAGGGCUACAUAACAACAAAUCAUCAACAUUUUGCAAAAAGGACGGAACCAUGACCGGUGGUCCAUGUUUUUUUUUUAGAGUAUGUUGGAGUACCAACGAAUAAACAGCUGGGGAAUCCACAUAGCCUUGGGUAAGCGUGUCCAGGUAAACUGAC